AGAGUUUGAUCAUGGCUCAGGAUGAACGCUGGCGGCGUGCUUAAUACAUGCAAGUCGAACGGAAAGUAGCAAUACUUUUAGUGGCGAACGGGUGAGUAACGCGUUGGUGACCUGCCCCGAAGUGAGGGAUAACAGUUCGAAAGGACUGCUAAUACCACAUGUGGUUACGAGGUUUAGAAGCUUGUAACUAAAGCAGCAAUGCGCUUUGGGAGGGGCCUGCGUCCCAUCAGCUAGUUGGUGAGGUAAAAGCUUACCAAGGCGACGACGGGUAGGGGACCUGAGAGGGUGAUCCCCCACACUGGCACUGAAACACGGGCCAGACACCUACGGGUGGCAGCAGUAGGGAAUAUUGCACAAUGGGCGAAAGCCUGAUGCAGCAACGCCGCGUGUCCGAUGAAGGCCUUCGGGUCGUAAAGGACUUUUCUGGAGGACGAGGAAGGACGGUACUCCAGGAAUAAGGCUCGGCUAACUACGUGCCAGCAGCCGCGGUAAAACGUAGGAGCCUAGCGUUAUCCGAAUUCGCUGGGCGUAAAGCGCGUGCAGGCGGCAAGGCAAGUUGGAAGUGAAAUCUCCCGGCUCAACUGGGAGAGGACGUUCAAAACUGCCUGGCUAGAGGACGGUAGAGGGAGGUGGAAUUCCCGGUGUAGUGGUGAAAUGCGUAGAUAUCGGGAGGAACACCAGUGGCGAAAGCGGCCUCCUGGGCCGUACCUGACGCUCAGACGCGAAAGCUAGGGGAGCGAACGGGAUUAGAAACCCCGGUAGUCCUAGCCGUAAACGAUGUAGACUGGGUGUUGGUGGGGUAAAAGCCGCCAGUGCCGAAGCAAACGCGAUAAGUCUACCGCCUGGGGACUACGGCCGCAAGGUUAAAACUCAAAGGAAUUGACGG
rnacentral:rRNA from 1 species